rnacentral:tRNA from 1 species
GGAUGUAGCUCAGUGAUAGAGCACUUGCCUAGCAUGUAUGAGGCCCUGAGUUCAAUUCUCAGCUCA